rnacentral:lncRNA from 1 species
UGUCCGCUGUGCUCUUGAUCCAGCGAGGCGCCCAUUGCCGCUCCCGAUUGGGCUAAAGGCUUGCAAUUGUUCCUGCACGCUAAGUGCCUGGGUUCAUCCUCAUCAAGCUGGGUUCCACGGUUCUCUUCAUGACCCGCAGCUUCUAACAGAGCUAUAAAACUCUGUGCAUGGCCCAAGAUUCCAUUCCUUGGAAUCUGUGAGGCCAAGAACCCCAGGUCAGAGAACAGGAGGCUUGCCACCAUCUUGGAAGUGGCUCGCCACCAUCUUAGGAGCUCUGUGAGCGGAGACCCCCACCCCCCGGUAACAUUUUGGCGACCACGAAGGGACCUCCAAAGCGAGCUAGGGAGAUACCUGUGCCAACUCUGGCUUUGUUUGCUCUGCCAGACAAUCCUGAUGCUGCAAAGUCAAAUCAUCGUGAAGGAAGUUUGUGCAAAUGUGGGAAACAGGACUAUAAUCCUGCUUGAAGUUUGCUUAGAUUCCUGGGAAGUCUCCCUAUUCCAACCCUUUUUGAGAAAUGCCCACAGCUCAUAACCUACCUGAGGUUAUUUGGGUCUCAGGAAACACACAGCAUGUGCCAAUGUUCCAAGAAUGAAGCUCUGGUUCCCAGCUUCUGCUGCUCCAACUUCUAUAGCAGCAAGGAGAAAAGAGUAACAGACAUACUGAUCACAUCUAAUUAGAAGGUAAGAAGUAUUCCCUUGAGCAUGUUUAUGACACAGGCACAAUAGGACAGGAGUAGUCUAUUCAAGCGGGUUCCUCAAUCUCAGGACU